rnacentral:rRNA from 1 species
CGUGCCGAUGUUGAUAGGGCCUCUAUUCUCCUGGGAGCCAGCCUUACCUGCUGAGGGUCGGAGUCGGCCAGUCCUGCCGAUAGGCCUUCUCCUCGCAGCAGAAGCACAAACCGGUGUUCCUUGACCGGUGUGGCCCGGAACUCAGCCCCACUGACGACAAUGUUCUCGUUGAGUAGCUGGCACAGUUCUGCGUUUGUCUCGGUGCUUAUCCGUCCUGCCCUUCUAUCAGUGAUGGUGCCGCUGCUGUCAACGGUGCAGAAAUUGCCUCUGGCUGCGAUGUCUCCCGGGCCUAGCUCCAGGUCAAUUCCCAGGGCGGCUAUGAUUCCGCGCCCCACACUGUAUUUGAUCGGAUCGUAGCCGAAGAUCGCCAGGUGCCCCGGUGCACUUCCUGGCGUGAUCCCUGGACUGAUCUGG